rnacentral:lncRNA from 1 species
GGGGGAAAGGAUAGGCCAAAACUUGGCCGGAACAUGACAGGAUGAGACUGUGCCGGAGCCUGUUUCCACAACUGCAUUUGGAGAUCCGUCUUAUUGAUUAGGGGGGGAAAGGGGUGGGGAUCAGGAGUGUGAGGUGAGGGGAGGACCAACUGACGACUGGCUCAAUGAAGCACAAGACAUUUUCUUCCGGAAAGAUGUCAAACAACUGAGAAACAGCCAGAGAGGAAGUAGAAAGGUGGAAAAAUGAGGAGACCCUGGAAGAAAUGAAGGCAUUUCCUAUGAGACAGCCUUGGGGCUUUUUUCUUUUCUUUCUUUUUUUUUGCUUCCAUCAUCUGACCUGCAAAGGCUAGAGUGACAGCGUCAUGCAAAUGCUGCAGUCCAGCAGGUCUGGGAGAGGGUGGAUGCUAGACUGUGAGUUAAUGUUAAUGAUGAGCGCAGUGAAAAUACCAGCCGCUGCCACCCCCUGCUCACAGAAGCGCUCUGAGUCAGCAUCAGAUGCUUUGCCUCGCCUCUCGCUGUGUAUCUGUAUGCCUGUGUGCGCGCGCGUGCUCGCUCGGGCAUCCGUGUCUAGCCGAGGGGAGGGGGUGGCGUGUGAGUGCGUGGAGGGUAAAAGCCAGUCAGUCAGUGAGAAGCAAAGGUACGUUGGAGAGCAACUAAAAUCUGACUGAUUUCCAUCUUUGGAGCAUCAGAUGUAUUCCCUAAGGAGGAUGGGUCUCCGUGAUGGGGGUGGUAUAAUUAUGUUAAUGUCAUAUUUAUGGAGGGGUGAGAUUUUUCAUUCUGAUAAUUGGUUGAAUGCUAUGGUCAAAAAUUGUAAAGCCAUAUUCAGUUUUAGGGAAAAGCAUGGACUUAGAUCUAAGGGCUGUUUUAUUUUUUCGCUUUUUGUGAGUGCUGCUUUUUUGUUUUUUUGGUUUUUGUUUUUUAACUAUUUAUUUUAAGCCAUAAGUGAUUCAGUAUGGGAAAUCAAAUGAUAAACAGAAAGAGAUCUUAUAUAAUGAUGCAUUACAUCAUGGAGCAGAAUAUUUAAAGUCUUACAAGGCAGAGUAAAGAUCUGGACAGGGGGUGGGGGGUGGUGGUUGGAAAGGGGUGUGGUACUAGGGUGGAGGAGGGGGGCCAGUUAGCAAAUAUUUUGUGCAGUAUAGCUUUCCUUGCAGCUUACUUGGAAAUGGAUGAUUCACCUGUUCUACAGGAAAACAUUCUAAUUCUUUCCAUUUUUUUUUUCCCUCCUCUUUUCCCUUUUAAGAUCAACCACCUCAGAAGAGCCAGAUUCCACUUCUGUGGCCAGGACUUUUAUAUUAUGGCUGGUCCGAUUGUUUUACCCUGCGUUCUAUGCUACUAAACCUUGGAUCAUUCCUAAAGUACAAAUUCUGUUCUCGAACCACAAACAAGGCUAAAAGAUCGGAGGAAAUUCAGUGAAUAUACAGGAUUGGGGUUGUGUAUUUUUUAAAGUAUUGAGCUUUAUAAUGUAAUUAUUCAAGAAAUAGAAUCACGGUUUUUUUUAUGAUGUUGCCAGCAUUUUCAAUUACAUGUUUAUUAAGUGGCAUUGCUCAAAUAACUACAGAGUAUGCGUGGAAAUAUUUGCUGUCUGAAUAGUUUGGAGAUUCAAAGAAAAAAAUCAAGCUUCAGAGGUAUUAAAUUAUGACAUGCAGAAAAGUUUUUGUUUUGUUCUUAACUGCAACGGUAUAUAUUUAAAUCCGAUUUAAAGUAUUAUAUGUCCUGGGCCCACCUUACCAGUUGUGCUGUAUAGCAGUGUAAUGAGAAGCAAAAUUUCAAUUAGGGUCCCAUUAACUGGCAUAUAAUCCUUCUUUAAUGUAAUAGAGGCUAUGGUGUUGCUGUACAAAUCUGCUUGAAGCAGAUUUUAACCCAUGUUUAGUCUCUUUCCUUGGAUCUAAUGGAAUGACUCUUAACUGUUCAUUGUCUGCAUUGUUUCUCAUAUUCUUCAUUAUUUUAAGGUCUGGAAUUAGUCUAUAAAUGGUCGUCGUGAUUACUCAGCUCAUCCUAACUUUUAUAUAUCAUAUAUAUUUCUACUGAAGUAUUUUAAAUAGUAUUUAGAGGUAAAAGUCUAAGUGAACCCAACUGUAAUUUCUAAGCUAUCCUUAUUUCUGGAAGA